AAGUCGUAACAAGGUUUCCGUAGGUGAACCUGCGGAAGGAUCAUUAUUGAAUUAUGUUUUCUAGAUGGGUUGUAGCUGGCUCCUAGGAGCAUGUGCACGCCUGUCUGGACUUCAUUUUCAUCCACCUGUGCACCCUUUGUAGUCUUUGUUGGGUAUGGAGGAAGUGGUCAGCCUUAUCAGCUCUCGCUGGAUAUGAGGACUUGCAGUGUGAAAGCAGUGCUGUCCGCUACUUGGCCAUGGAAUCUGUUUCCCAUCAGAGUCUAUGUUGUUCAUUAUACCCUAUAAACUGUUAUUGAAUGUCUUUACAUGGGCUUCUAUGCCUAUGAAAAUUGUAAUACAACUUUCAGCAACGGAUCUCUUGGCUCUC
rnacentral:misc_RNA from 1 species